AUCUGUAUUAGUAUUACCAACAUAAAAACACCUAGGUAGAGCAGUGGUUCUCUCAGUAUUAGUAUUAUCUCUGUAUUACCCACAUUAAAACACCUAGGUAGAGCAGUGGUUCUCUCGGUAUUAGUAUUAUCUCUGUAUUACCCACAUUAAAACACCUAGGUAGAGCAGUGGUUCUCUCUGUAUUAGUAUUAUCUCUGUAUUACCCACAUUAAAACACCUAGGUAGAACAGAGAGGACAGAGCAUGUGGCUUUGUAACACACAGGUGUUUCAUCUCCACACUGGGAUGAUUUUAACAGUGCAACGCCACACAGGCCUCAUGCCUCUCAGGUAGGAGGGUACCAGAAGUAAAAUAAUAAUAAACACAAAACUAAUGAAGGAGCACACAGUCACCAACAA